CUGUUCUAUGAACGGAGAAAAGUUAGCACUUUCCUUGUCAAGGAUUAAAGAUGUCCUCAGGCCUGCACCAUACAUAUGUGGGUAAGACAUUCCCACUCACUUUGUGGCAUGGUUGCUUUUUUAUUUUU